CUGACCUCAAAUCAGGUAGGACUACCCGCUGAACUUAAGCAUAUCAAUAAGCGGAGGAAAAGAAACUAACAAGGAUUCCCCUAGUAACUGCGAGUGAAGCGGGAAAAGCUCAAAUUUAAAAUCUGGCGGUCUUCGGCCGUCCGAGUUGUAGUCUGGAGAAGUGCUUUCCGCGCUGGACCGUGUAUAAGUCUCUUGGAACAGAGCGUCAUAGAGGGUGAGAAUCCCGUCUUUGACACGGACUACCAGUGCUUUGUGAUGCGCUCUCAAAGAGUCGAGUUGUUUGGGAAUGCAGCUCAAAAUGGGUGGUGAAUUCCAUCUAAAGCUAAAUAUUGGCGAGAGACCGAUAGCGAACAAGUACCGUGAGGGAAAGAUGAAAAGCACUUUGGAAAGAGAGUUAAACAGUACGUGAAAUUGCUGAAAGGGAAACGCUUGAAGUCAGUCGCGUCGUCCGGAACUCAGCCUUGCUUCCGCUUGGUGCACUUUCCGGAUGACGGGUCAGCAUCGAUUUUGACCGUCGGAAAAGGGCUGGAGUAAUGUGGCACCUCCGGGUGUGUUAUAGACUCUGGUCGCAUACGGCGGUUGGGAUCGAGG
rnacentral:rRNA from 1 species